AUAUGCGGUCCUCUCCAAGGUUUCUCAUAGUCAUUCACAUUGACGUCCCACUGGGGCAGCUUCCUGUAAAUGUGACAUUGCCAAGACAGAAUAUUUGUCUUCUUAGUCCAAUCGCACAGAAAAGGACUGGAGGACAAUUCAAAGAAGAACAGACGGACAAAAUGAGGCGAGACAAGCUGCAGGAGGCCACCUGUGUCACCCCCUUGCAGAGGGUCAUAGUGGGGGAGGUGAAAAUUAAAACACACAGGCGGCGUCUUGCACCUCAGCCCAGGACGGACACCCCCCCAGCCCCUUUAUCCCUUGGUCUCAGUGGGAUCGGUGACCUGUGUGUGCGUGUGUGUGUGUGUGUGUGUGUGUGUGUGUGUGUGUGUGUGUGUGUGUGUGUGUGUGUGUGUGUGUGUGUGUGCGUGCGUCCACACCCCUGAGAAAUCCCUCCCCCAAACUUCACACACAGACACAGGUGAGUCACAGGUGUAGUUGCUGUCGCUGCAUAUCUGAAGUGUGUAAUCACUUGGGUGGAGGGGCCGGGGAGCGCCAUGUGCAAGAAAACCACCGCCCAUACGGCACAUUCUUGAAAACUAAACCUCUGGGGUGGCUUUUUGCUUCUGCUCCAUGUCACAAAAGAAAGAGAAAAAAAAGAUACUUUUUAGCUACUGAUAAUGUGGUGGUUCACUCGGCUGACUUCUGUGCUUCCAGUGUGGGCUCACUCCCACUCGGUGAUGGUGUGAAUUCUUAUCUGUCUCGAUAUGUGCCCUGUGAUUGACAGCUGACAAGUCUGCCUUUUGCCCCAAGAUUUCUGGGAUCGGCUCAGACUUCACUGGAGAGGAUAAGUGGUUUGAGGGCGACAGAUCGGACCAGGCCACGCAGGCGGUACUGUUACUGCCUGACGAGCGGACCUCCCCAACCCCCCCUAAAAGGCUCCCAGGGAAGAGGAGGUUCCAGGUCCGACAUGGCUGUCAAAGUGUACCAACUUUUCAGAAUACCUACUCAGACUUCCUCUGUCCAGAGGGAUCACAAUGGCAGCGCUAUCAAAGAACUGCAGAACUGGCAGACAGCCUUUGGUGACCUCAACAACAAGGCUGUGGAUUGAUUCACACUGGUUUUCGCCUUUUGAAGGGUACAGGAAAAACUGGAAAAUGUAUCUUGAAAGUCCUUAAAAAGUGCUUGAAUUUGGCCAUCGAAAAGGUGUAUGAACCCUGUAUCUUAUUAGAGGCUGUACAAAAUGUAAGAAAAACAUGCUGCAAUUAUCAGACAAAUGUUUAUUUUUAUGUAUUGUGAGUAUUUUGUGAUUCAAAUGUUUUGGAGGAUUUUUGUUGCUUCCAGACUUGAGUGUUUUGUAAGGCCAAAAAUCGCCCACAUGCCAUAAA